AGUGAACGCUGGCGGUAGGCCUAACACAUGCAAGUCGAACGGCAGCACAGUAAGAGCUUGCUCUUACGGGUGGCGAGUGGCGGACGGGUGAGGAAUACAUCGGAAUCUACUUUUUCGUGGGGGAUAACGUAGGGAAACUUACGCUAAUACCGCAUACGACCUACGGGUGAAAGCAGGGGAUCUUCGGACCUUGCGCGAUUGAAUGAGCCGAUGUCGGAUUAGCUAGUUGGCGGGGUAAAGGCCCACCGAGGCGACGAUCCGUAGCUGGUCUGAGAGGAUGAUCAGCCACACUGGAACUGAGACACGGUCCAGACUCCUACGGGAGGCAGCAGUGGGGAAUAUUGGACAAUGGGCGCAAGCCUGAUCCAGCCAUACCGCGUGGGUGAAGAAGGCCUUCGGGUUGUAAAGCCCUUUUGUUGGGAAAGAAAAGCAGCAGGUUGAUACCCCGCUGUUCUGACGGUACCCAAAGAAUAAGCACCGGCUAACUUCGUG
rnacentral:rRNA from 1 species